AUUGAACGCUAGCGGGAUGCCUUACACAUGCAAGUCGAACGGAGUGGCGAACGGGUGAGUAAUGUAUCGGAACGUGCCCAGUAGCGGGGGAUAACUACGCGAAAGCGUAGCUAAUACCGCAUACUAUUGGAGCAGCCUAUAUCGGAUUAGCUAGUUGGUGGGGUAACGGCUUACCAAGGCGACGAUCCGUAGCUGGUUUGAGAGGACGACCAGCCACACUGGGACUGAGACACGGCCCAGACUCCUACGGGAGGCAGCAGUGGGGAAUGUUGGACAAUGGGGGAAAGCCUGAUCCAGCCAUCCCGCGUGUGUGAUGAAGGCCUUCGGGUUGUAAAGCACUUUUAGCAGGAAAGCGGUACCUGCAGAAUAAGCACCGGCUAACUACGUGCCAGCAGCCGCGGUAAUUC
rnacentral:rRNA from 1 species